AACGAACGCUGGCGGCAGGCCUAACACAUGCAAGUCGAGCGCCCCGCAAGGGGAGCGGCGGACGGGUGAGUAACGCGUGGGAACGUGCCCUUUGCUACGGAAUAGCCCCGGGAAACUGGGAGUAAUACCGUAUAAGCCCUACGGGGGAAAGAUUUAUCGGCAAAGGAUCGGCCCGCGUUGGAUUAGGUAGUUGGUGGGGUAAUGGCCUAACAAGCCGACGAUCCAUAGCUGGUUUGAGGGGAUGAUCAGCCACACUGGGACUGAGACACGGCCCAGACUCCUACGGGAGGCAGCAGUGGGGAAUCUUAGACAAUGGGCGCAAGCCUGAUCUAGCCAUGCCGCGUGAGCGAUGAAGGCCUUAGGGUUGUAAAGCUCUUUCGUGGGGGAAGAUAAUGACUGUACCCCUAGAAGAAGCCCCGGCUAACUCCGUGCCAGCCGCCGCAGUAAAAC
rnacentral:rRNA from 1 species